UUUGAGGUUAAGCUGGUUGAGGUUGUGUGUGAUAUGGACUAGGAUUACUUCUCGGCUAUAGUGGCAACCCAUGAAUCUCGAGCCACUUGGCAUUCCAUCCCAGUUCGCAUUUUUUGGAUC